rnacentral:lncRNA from 1 species
GCACCGCGCAAGGCCCGCGGGGACCUGGUGCUCACCCGCAGCAGGAACGGGCGGCGGCCGGGGCCCCUCCCAGCUGCCCUCUUCCCUCGGGCCAGGCGGGGCCGCCGGGGCACCUGUGGCCGGGCCCGCGGGCCGAGCUUGGGGCUGAGGCGGAGGGCGGGGCCCGGCACCGGGCGGGCGCGCAGAUGCGAAGCAGCGGGCGCCGGCACAACGCGCAGCCCCAUAAAUCCGCCCGGGAGGAAUCCGUGACUUCGUCAAUUAAGGAAAAGUGGAGCCCCGCUCCCGUUGAAGCCGAACUCGGGCAGACGGCUGGGAAGCCUGUGGGGGUGGGGGCUGAGCGCAGCCCGGGUGUCCGCGCCGCGCAGCUCGCAAAAGCAAAGGUGCGCCCCUCGGUGCGGGGCUGCUCAGGCGCCUGCGAAGAGGUCGAGGGGGGCUGCCGAGAGGAGACACGGUCUUUUAAAAAGUGAUUUUAAAGUUUUGUAGGGCAGCAAGAAGGGAGGGGGUGGAACUGACGUGCCCAGGCCCAAGCCCAGGCCCGCCGGGCUCUCCCUGCGCGGAUCCGCCCGGGGAGGGGAACCGCGGAGCGGCACGGGCCAGCCAUCCCUCUGCGGUGCGAGCGAGGCCUACGGGGAGGCUGGGGAGUCACCGCUCUCCUAGCCCGUGGAAACACAGUGCAGCUCAGGUGUCUCGUAGGAACGCGGCGCUGGGCCCCUCUGCGGGGUCUUCUUAUCCCAGAACCACUGGGCUGGGACCAAGUCUUCAACAGAAAGAAUUCCAAGUAAAGGCCCAGGCCGGACGCUAUGGGCUGCCCGACCCUUGGCCCCGGGCAGCAAGAGGCGCCUGCGGGAGCCCCCGGGAGGGUCCCGCGUGGUGCCCACCUGCCCCAGGAAGGAUCUGCGAGGAGGCCGGGUGGCGCAUCCUGGCCAGAUGUUUAAGACAGAUGAGGAACGAGUAGUUAAAACCCACAUUAUAUAGUCCUGUCGGGUAUAAAAUUGCAUGUGCUGACCCAUAUAUUCUAACUGGAAACGGACUCAAGUCACUUAAAAUAUUGCAACGUCGAUAGGACUAAUUAAUUGGAAAUAAGAAACGAAAGAAUACAAUUAAACGAGAAGAGAAUCAUUUUCUAAUUUAAUAGAGGGACAUUUAUAAAGAUCACAAGCUAAAAGGCAUCGAAUGAUUCUAUCGACAUUCUAUUAAAUCAGCCCCCGCGGUCUGCGUGGGGAGGAGGGCUCCAGGAGUGCCGAGUCCUGGACCUGGGUUCGGUGGCCGCCUGGAGAAGCUCCUGCUACGAACCGAACGUUUGCGCCGAUCGGACGCGGCCCUUUCUGCAGAAUUUACUCUUCUCAGCCCGAGGCUCAGACCCAGCUACUCAGACCGCCCCAGCCGGGAGAAUCCUGCCUCCCUGCCCGGGAGUCCCCGGUUCGCAGAUAUAUUACAACAAAAUUACUAAUUGGAAAAUGAAAUUGUCAAUAAAGCAUACCCCCCGCGUAUACAAUAUCCUUAAAUAUUAAGAUAUUUUAUUAGACCCAUUUCCUAACAAUAAUUUAUUGCAAUAAAACAGACACCGCAGGUCCCCUUAAAUUGUCUUUUCAUAAUGAAUAAAUUUAAGGGGGCUAAUUAAUAUAUAAACUAGCCCAAUUUGUCAAGUUGAUUUGUAUUUUAGUUAAUUGUGAAAGUAAUUACCACAUGGUCAAAUUAACAGCUUUCUGGAAAUGACCAAGCCUGAGGUUUUAUUUCCUUCCUGGGUGAAGAAAAUUCAUUUUUCCAAGCUCUUGAUGUGAUGAAUAAAAGUCAUAAAUCUGGGUGAUUGGUGCAGGCAGAGUCUAAAUGGCUUCAUAUUUCAUUUUAGGUUUAAUAGAAAUAUUCAUGCUCUGUUUUAAUGAAAUUAAAUUGAAGGGGGAUGGGGCCGGGAGGUGGCAGUGGCCGGGGGCUUAAAGGGACAACGCACAUUUUCCUUCCCCGCCCCUGAGCCAGGGCGUUGGGGUCACCUCCGCCGGCGGCGGCCGAUGGGCUCACUCCUGCCAGCGGGAGCCGAGGGAUACCUGGGAGGGCCCUUCCUGCAGCCGCUCACCUGAAGCGCAGGUAGAGCCAGCUACUGGAACCUCAGCCCAGGUGCCCUCGGGCGCGCCCAGCUCCCUCCCACGAGCUUGCGAAGUCACUGAGCAAGUAGGAGUCUGCGCUGGGUGCGGGUUUGAUCCCCUUCUGCCUGUCCCCCAAGCUCAGGCCCGCGCUGCCCGGGGUGGGGGGGUCCUAGGGUCCUGCACUCUUCCCCUUAGGUCGCCUCAUGGGGACGCGUAGGAGAGAUUCGUGGCCGCGGACACUGCGCGGUUCCCAGCUCCCUCCCUCAUGCCCUCGCUCUCCACCGCCCUGUGACCUCCAGCUAGGCUCCGCCUCGCGUGGAAACUGUCCCCGACCGAGCCCAGACGCCAGGGCCGG